GAUGAACGCUGGCGGCGUGCCUAGUACAUGCAAGUCGAGCGAACAGACGAGGAGCUUGCUCCUCUGACGUUAGCGGCGGACGGGUGAGUAACACGUGGAUAACCUACCUAUAAGACUGGGAUAACUUCGGGAAACCGGAGCUAAUACCGGAUAAUAUAUUGAACCGCAUGGUUCAAUAGUGAAAGACGGUUUUGCUGUCACUUAUAGAUGGAUCCGCGCCGCAUUAGCUAGUUGGUAAGGUAACGGCUUACCAAGGCAACGAUGCGUAGCCGACCUGAGAGCGUGAUCGGCCACACUGGAACUGAGACACGGUCCAGACUCCUACGGGAGGCAGCAGUAGGGAAUCUUCCGCAAUGGGCGAAAGCCUGACGGAGCAACGCCGCGUGAGUGAUGAAGGUCUUCGGAUCGUAAAACUCUGUUAUUAGGGAAGAACAAAUGUGUAAGUAACUAUGCACGUCUUGACGGUACCUAAUCAGAAAGCCACGGCUAACUACGUG
rnacentral:rRNA from 1 species